rnacentral:tRNA from 1 species
GACUCAGUGAUUGUGCAGUGUGUAGCACUAUUGCCUCACUGCAAGAGGUUCCUUGGUUCGAAUCUCGGCCGGGUCC